rfam:Gasterosteus aculeatus cont1.000178, whole genome shotgun sequence.
UGAAUGCACUUAUUGUGAGUCGCUUUGGAUAAAAGCGUCAGCUAAAUGACAUGUA